GAGGGUAUAGCUCAAAUGGUAGAGCGCUUGCUUAGCAUGCAUGAGGUCCUCGGUUCAAUCCCAAGUACUUCCU
rnacentral:tRNA from 1 species